GUGGGGAAUCUUCCGCAAUGGACGAAAGUCUGACGGAGCGACGCCGCGUGAGUGAAGAAGGCCUUCGGGUCGUAAAGCUCUGUCAUCAGGGACGAACGGCCGGUGGAGUGGAAAGCCACCGGAUUGACGGUACCUGAGAAGGAAGCCACGGCUAACUACGUGCCAGCAGCCGCGGUAAUACGUAGGUGGCAAGCGUUGUCCGGAAUUAUUGGACGUAAAGCGCGCGCAGGUGGGAUCUUAAGUCCAUUUUUAAAGUUCGGAGCUCAACUCCGUGAUGGGAUGGAAACUGGGAUUCUUGAGUACCGGAGAGGAAAGCGGAAUUCCCCGUGUAGCGGUGAAAUGCGUAGAUAUGGGGAGGAACACCAGUGGCGAAGGCGGCUUUCUGGACGGUGUCUGACACUGAGGCGCGAAAGCCAGGGGAGCGAACGGGAUUAGAUACCCGUGUAGUCC
rnacentral:rRNA from 1 species